rnacentral:miRNA from 1 species
AUCCUGAGUGUGUGUGGUGAACC